CCUACGGGUGGCAGCAGUGAGGAAUAUUGGUCAAUGGACGCGAGCCUGAACCAGCCAAGUCGCGUGCGGGAAGACGGUCCUAUGAAUUGUAAACCUCUUUUGUCGGGGAGCAAACGCCGCCACGCGUGGCGUUCCGAGAGUACCCGAAGAAAAAGCAUCGGCUAACUCCGUGCCAGCAGCCGCGGUAAUACGGAGGAUGCGAGCGUUAUCCGGAUUUAUUGGGUUUAAAGGGUGCGCAGGCGGAAGAUCAAGUCAGCGGUAAAAUUGGGGGGCUCAACCUCUUAGAGCCGUUGAAACUGGUUGUCUUGAGUGAGUGAGAAGUAUGCGGAAUGUGUGGUGUAGCGGUGAAAUGCAUAGAGAUCACGCAGAACUCCGAUUGCGAAGGCAGCAUACCGGCGCUCAACUGACGCUCAUGCACGAAAGUGUGGGUAGCGAACAGGAUUAGAUACCCUUGUAGUC
rnacentral:rRNA from 1 species